UACGAAGGGGGCUAGCGUUGUUCGGAAUUACUGGGCGUAAAGCGCACGUAGGCGGACUAUUAAGUCAGGGGUGAAAUCCCGGGGCUCAACCCCGGAACUGCCUUUGAUACUGCGGAUCUCGAGUCCGAUAGAGGUGGGUGGAAUUCCUAGUGUAGAGGUGAAAUUCGUAGAUAUUAGGAAGAACACCGGUGGCGAAGGCGGCCCACUGGAUCGGUACUGACGCUGAGGUGCGAAAGCGUGGGGAGCAAACAGG
rnacentral:rRNA from 1 species